rnacentral:rRNA from 1 species
GACGAACGCUGGCGGCGUGCUUAACACAUGCAAGUCGAACGGAAAGGCCCUGCUUUUGUGGGGUGCUCGAGUGGCGAACGGGUGAGUAACACGUGAGUAACCUGCCCUUGACUUUGGGAUAACUUCAGGAAACUGGGGCUAAUACCGGAUAGGAGCUCCUGCUGCAUGGUGGGGGUUGGAAAGUUUCGGCGGUUGGGGAUGGACUCGCGGCUUAUCAGCUGGUUGGUGGGGUAGUGGCUUACCAAGGCUUUGACGGGUAGCCGGCCUGAGAGGGUGACCGGCGACAUUGGGACUGAGAUACGGCCCAGACUGCUAUGGGAGGCAGCAGUGGGGAAUAUUGCACAAUGGGCGGAAGUCUGAUGCAGCAGCGCCGCGUGCGGGAUGAUGGCUUUCGGGUUGUAAACCGCUUUCGCCGGUGACGAAGCGUGAGUGACGGUAAUGGGUAAAGAAGCACCGGCUAACUACGUG